GCCUGGCUAGCUCAGUCGGUAGAGCAUGAGACUCUUAAUCUUAGGGUCGUGGGUCGAAGACACAUGUUUGUCC
rnacentral:tRNA from 1 species